rnacentral:rRNA from 1 species
CAGCAGCCACGGGAAUACGUAGGGUGCGAGCGUUAAUCGGAAUUACUGGGCGUAAAGCGGGCGCAGACGGUUACUUAAGCAGGAUGUGAAAUCCCCGGGCUCAACCUGGGAACUGCGUUCUGAACUGGGUGACUAGAGUGUGUCAGAGGGAGGUAGAAUUCCACGUGUAGCAGUGAAAUGCGUAGAGAUGUGGAGGAAUACCGAUGGCGAAGGCAGCCUCCUGGGAUAACACUGACGUUCAUGCCCGAAAGCGUGGGUAGCAAACAGGAUUAGAUACCCCAGUAGUCCCUGUCUCUUAUAU